rnacentral:rRNA from 1 species
AGCGAACGCUGGCGGCAGGCCUAACACAUGCAAGUCGAGCGCCCAGCAAUGGGAGCGGCAGACGGGAUAGUAACACGUGGGAACGUACCCUUCAGUUCGGAACAACCCAGGGAAACUUGGGCUAAUACCGAAUACGUCCGUAAGGAGAAAGAUUUAUCGCUGAAGGAUCGGCCCGCGUCUGAUUAGCUAGUUGGUGAGGUAAUGGCUCACCAAGGCGACGAUCAGUAGCNGGUCUGAGAGGAUGAUCAGCAUCACUGGGACUGAGACACGGCCCAGACUCCUACGGGAGGCAGCAGUGGGGAAUAUUGGACAAUGGGCGCAAGCCUGAUCCAGCCAUGCCGCGUGGGUGAUGAA